rnacentral:rRNA from 1 species
CAAUAGCGUAUAUUAAAGUUGUUGCAGUUGAAAAGCUCGUAGUUGGAUUUCUGGUGGGAGCGAUCGGUCUGGCGCUUAGCGCGAGUACUUGCAUCGUCUCCGGCCAUCCUUGGGGAGAGUCUGUCUGGCAUUAAGUUGUCGGGCAGAGGAUCCUCAUCGUUUACUGUGAAAAAAUUAGAGUGUUCAAAGCAGGCUUAUGCCGUUGAAUAUAUUAGCAUGGAAUAAUAAGAUAGGACUUUGGUACUAUUUUGUUGGUUUGCGCACCAAAGUAAUGAUUAAUAGGGACAGUUGGGGGUAUUCGUAUUCCGUUGUCAGAGGUGAAAUUCUUGGAUUUACGGAAGACGAACUACUGCGAAAGCAUUUACCAAGGAUGUUUUCAUUAA